rnacentral:rRNA from 1 species
GAAAUGCGAUACUUGGUGUGAAUUGCAGAAUCCCGUGAACCAUCGAGUCUUUGAACGCAAGUUGCGCCCCAAGCCUUCAGGCCGAGGGCACGUCUGCCUGGGUGUCACAAAUCGUCAUCCCCAUCCUUUGCGGAUAAGGGACGGAAGUUGGUCUCCCGUGUGUUACCGCACGCGGUUGGCCUAAAUAUGAGCUAAGGACGUCUUGGAGCGUCUCGACAUGCGGUGGUGAAAUAAAGCCUCGUCAUUUCGUCGGUCGCUCCUGUCUGAAUGCUCUUGAUGACCCUAUGUCCUUCACGCGACCCCAGGUCAGGCGGGAUCACCCGCUGAGUUUAA